GAUGAACGCUGGCGGCGUGCCUAAUACAUGCAAGUCGAGCGAACAGAUGAGGAGCUUGCUCCUCUGACGUUAGCGGCGGACGGGUGAGUAACACGUGGAUAACCUACUUAUAAGACUGGGAUAACUUCGGGAAACCGGAGCUAAUACCGGAUAAUAUAUUGAACCGCAUGGUUCAAUAGUGAAAGACGGUUUUGCUGUCACUUAUAGAUGGAUCCGCGCCGCAUUAGCUAGUUGGUAAGGUAACGGCUUACCAAGGCAACGAUGCGUAGCCGACCUGAGAGGGUGAUCGGCCACACUGGAACUGAGACACGGUCCAGACUCCUACGGGAGGCAGCAGUAGGGAAUCUUCGGCAAUGGGCGAAAGCCUGACGGAGCAACGCCGCGUGAGUGAUGAAGGUCUUCGGAUCGUAAAACUCUGUUAUUAGGGAAGAACAAAUGUGUAAGUAACUAUGCACGUCUUGACGGUACCUAAACAGAAAGCCACGGCUAACUACGUG
rnacentral:rRNA from 1 species